UUUUGUGCACGUCUAGUUUUCGGUUUGUUGCAAUUAUUACUAUUGUUAAGUGUAUUCGUUUGUAAAACUAGUACUUUUCCAAAUAAUUAUUGUUAAUAGAAAUGUUCUUCAACAAGAAUAUCGAUCAAUCAGUUUUCCACACAGUGCAAUCUCAAAGCUGAAUGAAAUCAAUACAUUCUUCAAUGAGAAUAUCAACGAAGCGACUAAUAUGAACGAGUAUGUAAAGUUUCCAGUACAGGAUCUAGAAUCGACGAUUCAAUGCCGGAGACACGAGCUGAUGACAAUCACCUCUGAAUAAAUCGCGCGGUCGAAGGUAGUAGAAGAGAGUUUUCAGAGUCACGCGUCGCGGAAGGCUGGUGAGGAUUCCGGAAUGGUUUACGGGAGGAUCGAUUGGGAGGAGGAACGAUAGAGAGAAGAUAUUGAUUAAUGAAUACAUACACUGGCUGGAAAACUUACAUCGGUUGGAAAAAGUCUCGUUUCGUUGCGAAAUUAAUUAAAUGCCUUUCAGGAGGUUCCAAAUCAUUGUAUGUUUUAUUGUCUCAUAAAGCAGCAAGGCAUCGUUGCUUCUGGUUUAACAGGAUUAAGUUAAGGAUGAUUAUUCAGAAUUUUGAGUGGCCGUCCGUUUAUGAGUCGUACAAGCCCUAUCCCUUCUUUAGAAAAUUCCAAAUUACAUGUCCUCCUCGAGCUUAAUGACUCCGAGGACAAAGAAAGACCCCAGCCGGGAAGGCACGAUGGACAGACGAAACACAACGGCUGGUAGGGAGAAUCAGCAACGUAGGACAGUUCAUCAGACAUCGUACCGUGCAGGUGAAAUACUUCACUCUCAAUAAGAUCUUACCACCGCCGUGUUCAUAAUAUCACACUUUACUUUUAUACAACAAGUGCAAUUACAGUGCUAGAUUACUCUAAUACUCAAUCCAUUAAACCUCCUUCACCUUGAGCGUUAAGUCAUUCGAGGUACGGCAUAUCGACCAAUCGGUUUGACCUGACCGGUUGCUCUUUAGUCGAGAAUUCGCAAUAAUGAUUGAAUUGAAAAUUAAAGAUGAAUUAGAGAUUCUGUAUGGAUGUCACCCAGUAAGAAAAUGUUGCUUCUAUAAUAUCAUUAUUUCAAAUAAAAACGGAAAUCCUGUAUGCUCUUAACACAAUUCCAACCUCAUGCGAAGCAAAAGGAAAAAGCACAAAGGAAAGAUGAGAGAAACCAUACUUCUUACGUUUAUUUGAACCUUCCUACUUCUAAUAAUUCCUCUGACCACUAACUUUUUCUUCUUAAUUUAAACCUAUUACUUCUCCUAUCACACUAUUAUCCCAAUUAAAAAUUCCAACCUUUUUCAGAAUAAAAAGCAAAAGCCCUUUCAACAAUGAAGGAGAAACUAUGUUUCUUACGUUCAUUUAUCCUUUUUACCUCUACUUUUUAUUAUCACUAAUUUUUCAUCUCCUCUUUAAUUUAUACCCUGUUAAAUUAACUCUUAUUAUAUUAUUAUUAUUACAAUUAAAAAUUAAAAUUUUGUCUGUUCUUAAUACAAUCCCAUCUGUCUGAAAGUAAGAAAGAAGAAGCCACGGAGAAAGAAAAAAAUUCAAGAAAAUGAAGAUAAACCGUGUUUCUUACGUUUAUCUAACGCGUAAAAAUUUGAAAUCCGUGCGCGAACCAGCACGUUGCCACGUUGAACAGAGUUUCCUUUAUCGUGGCUGAAUAUUCAUACAGCUAAAUGGGAUUUUUCUUCGCACGGAAGAAGCGAGAAAGAAGUUUCCCGUGCGGGCGUUCUCUCGCGUGUACGUAAAACAGCUAUCAGUUUAAUUUCUUAGCAAGAACAAGCCGGAUAAUCGCGCGGCAGUCUGCAAGUAGAAUUAACCCGUCAAGCGUCAGUCGUUGGUAAGGUAACGCGGUCAGAUAAGGGGAUAGAAAAAUGUUUUGCUAUUUCUGUCUUGGCACCUUGAAACCGAUUUCGCGUCUGCUUCAUGGUAAACGUGCGCUUAGUGGAAAAUGCAACACGUAACUUGAUAAUUCCCGUCUUGAAACUCGAUUUGAGGUUGAUACUUGCACUUGUGCAAACGAUCACUUAUUAUUUACGUGCACACGAGAAGCUGCUAUCAAGAAGAGAAACGAUCCUCGUUUAGAUACGCAGCCAGAGUCAUGGUAAAAUUAUUGCAACGAUUGAACGUCUUGCGAGUGUCGGAGUCGAGUUACGUUUGAUGUUAUACGUUGAAGAUUGAGAAUCUAAUUAUGAAAUUGUAAUACUGUUCGUUCAAAAGAAUUUUCCUUUUUUAAUAUUUCUUCGUGCCCCUAAUUAAGUAAGAUUAAUGGAUGUAGCAUGGUUGCGUAUUAAAAUUUCGAUAAAGAACGUGGUUUGGAGAGGGCUCGUUUUGUUCACACGUCGGAAUCACAUACCAGAUAUUAGUUUCUACGAAGCACGACACGACAGAACUAUUCUCAUUGCAAACCAACGCUAGUAAUGUUCUCAGUCACGUAUCUGUAUACUUUGGCUACGUACGUGAGUACAGGCUCGUUCACAAAUUGUUACAACUUUCAUCAUUUACGUACUAAAACAUUCUAACCAUCACGAUACGUUAUAAUUAAAUCAUGGAUAUAUUUAUGCAACUCUAUAUUUUUUUUUCAAAUAUAAUUAAGAAAACGGAAUCUAGAGAAUGCUUUUAUCAAGCAAAUAUUAUAACGAAUACUAUACUUUGGACAUUCUAUAUGUUUUAAGGUACUAUGCGCGUUCUGUACAUUUUUGCAACUUUAAACGUUUCGUACAUGUGUAAAAAUCUGCAGUCUAAUUAUAACAGACGCAGCAUUAUUUCUGCUUGCAUGUAAAAGUUUGCUCGAACUAAAUUUCUGACUAAUUGUAAGUCAGAGGAAAAGCUGCGUUUUAUAAAACAUUCGUAUAUCACUCAUGAAAAAGACUGUAGCACCUUACGGAAGCGCAAGAUGGUCGGGGGUUGGUUUAAGGCGCGGUAAGGCGGGUCGAGUUAAGGUUAGGCAGGGGAUGUUUCCUCGCAAUUACGCGAAGCUACAUCCUCCCGUUGCUUUAUAGACCGUCGGUUACUGGAACCGCCGCCCAUCCUCCUGGAUUCCUCGGUUGCUUACGAUCCGACAAAUAUCCUUAAGGACUAUCCGAAUCGUAUGUUCUCGCCUCUACGUACGAUUAAAGCGGAUACUAAUGAUACAUGGAAUGAAAAUUUUUCUUGCUUCGUAAUUGCUCUGUAACGAA